ACGCUCGACACCUACGGGGGCAGCAGUGGGGAAUAUUGCACAAUGGGGGAAACCCUGAUGCAGCAACGCCGCGUGAGCGAAGAAGUAUUUCGGUAUGUAAAGCUCUAUCAGCAGGGAAGAAAAUGACGGUACCUGAGUAAGAAGCCCCGGCUAACUACGUGCCANNCGCGAGUAUNGNGGCGNGNGAGAG
rnacentral:rRNA from 1 species